rnacentral:rRNA from 1 species
GGAUGCGCUCAUACCAGCACAAAAGCACCGGAUCCCAUCAGAACUCUGAAGUUUACUGGGAAGUCCUUGUGUUGCAUUCC